rnacentral:lncRNA from 1 species
AGACAAGACAUUUACUUAAAUGUUUAGAAGGGAAAUAAGGCAAGGCAAUAUAAGGUAAAAAAAAAAAGGCAAUGGGCGGGCCGUGGGUGGCCCGGCCCAAUGAUGAACCCUAAUUUAAACAAUCGAGUCCAUCUCAGCCAAAAAAUGCCAUGUGGCUGGUGAGUGGGUGGGUGAGUGAUGAGUGGUGGAUGGAGAGUAUUAGAAAUAUGCCCUUAAAGUCAACUAAUUAUGUAAUAGUUAGAGUUCAGGACAUCUUUGAUAAAAGACAUAUUCUGUUAUCAAUGGGCAAGAAAGGUUGUUUUAUACAUUAAAUCAUCCUAUAUUAUUUUUCAAUAUGUAGAACAACCAUAGUCCAAGGAAUACACAAGUGGAUAUGAGAGCUAUGUAAUGAGAUUGCAUACAUGGAGACUUCUCAUCAUCCCUAAAUCCUAAAUAUGUUCCUGG